AGUUCGAUUCUGGCUCAGAUUGAACGCUGGCGGGAUGCUUUACACAUGCAAGUCGAACGGCAGCACGGACUUCGGUCUGGUGUGGCGAGUGGCGAACGGGUGAGUAAUGUAUCGGAACGUGCCUAGUAGCGGGGGAUAACUACGCAGUGAAGCAUUACCGUAUACGCCCUUCGGGGGAAAGUAGGGACCUUCGGGCCUCGCACUAUUAGAGCGGCCGAUAUCGGAUUAGCUAGUUGGUGGGGUAACGGCUCACCAAGGCGACGAUCCGUAGCUGGUUUGAGAGAAUGACCAGCCACACUGGGACUGAGACACGGCCCAGACUCCUACGGGAGGCAGCAGUGGGGAAUUUUGGACAAUGUGAAACCCUGAUCCAGCCAUCCCGCGUGUGCGAUGAAGGCCUUCGGGUUGUAAAGCACUCCUUUUUGGCAGGAAAGAAACGGCACGGGAUAAUACCCUCGUGCAACUGACGGUACCAGCAGAAUAAGCACCGGCUAACUACGUGCCAGCAGCCGCGGUAAUACGUAGGGUGCAAGCGUUAAUCGGAAUUACUGGGCGUAAAGCGUGCGCAGGCGGUUCGGAAAGAAAGAUGUGAAAUCCCAGAGCUUAACUUUGGAACUGCAUUUUUAACUACCGAGCUAGAGUGUGUCAGAGGGAGGUGGAAUUCGCGUAGUGCAGUGAAAUGCGUAGAUAUGCGGAGGAACACCGAUGGCGAAGGCAGCCUCCUGGGAUAACACUGACGCUCAUGCACGAAAGCGUGGGGAGCAAACAGGAUUAGAUACCCUGGUAGUCCACGCCCUAAACGAUGUCAACUAGCUGUUGGGCCUUCGGGCCUUUGUAUGGCAAAGCAUCGCAAAGAAAACACCCACCCAGAGUGCUGGCUGCAGAUAAACUCAAAGGAAUUGAUGGGACCUGCAAUAAAGGGUGAUGGCGAUUAAUUACGCACUGCGAAACCUUACCUUACCCGAUAUGCCUGAACUCCAGCAUUUGGGCGUUCGUAAGAACCGAACCAAACGCGGCUGGCCGCUGGUCGGCCGAGAUGUUUGUUAAGUCCUGCAACGAGCGCGAACCAUUGUUGUUGCCGAUAAAGACUUGUCGAGACUGCCGGUGACAAACCGAGGAAGGUGGGAUGACGUCAAGUCCUCAUGGCCCUUAUGGGUAGGGCUUCACACGUCAUACAAUGGUCGGGACAGAGGGGGUCGCCAACCCGCGAGGGGAGCCAAUCCCAGAAACCCGAUCGUAGUCCGAUCGCAGUCUGCAACUCGACUGCGUGAAGUCGGAAUCGCUAGUAAUCGCGGAUCAGCAUGUCGCGGUGAAUACGUUCCCGGGUCUUGUACACACCGCCCGUCACACCAUGGGAGUGGGUUUUACCAGAAGUAGUUAGCCUAACCGUAAGGAGGGCGAUUACCACGGUAGGAUUCAUGACUGGGGUGAAGUCGUAACAAGGUAG
rnacentral:rRNA from 1 species